AUGAGCCCCCGCGCCUCUCGCGAGGCUUGGCGGGAGAAGCGGGCGCGCGCAGCCCGCCCCCUCCUUUCUCCGCGCUCGCUCCCGGUCGACAUGGCGGCCGGGUCGCAGGUGAGCAUGGCACGGUGUCAAGCAAGGGUAAAAACACUCACCUGCCUGGGAAGCUGAUUCCUUCACUGGACUGACAGUAAACCUGCACCAGCUGCACAAUGGAGGAAAUUGUCCUGCAGAAUCCUGGGGUUGUACUGUUGCCCAAAGACAGCUUUGGCAAGAGGACAGCUGCUAAGUUGGGCUUCAAGCUGAGCCAAUGCCAGCUGCCUCCAGGGCGGACCCACCGCUGGCCCAGGCCGAGUCCAUCGGUGACGGUGGUAACACCUCUGCGGUAACAUGUUUAAGAAGGGGGAGAAGUUGGUGCGUAACAGCAACUGCAGCCAGAGAGAUGAGUGAGAAUAUGUGACAGAAACAACCCUGCAGACCCCAAGAAGAAGGCUGAACCGGCAAACUUGACAACAACAGACUUCUUGAGAAGUCAAGAAGCAACGGAAAGAAGAUUGUUCUGGAGCGGGUCUCACAAAUGAUACUGUCAUUUGAAACAGUGUAAAAUGACCACUUGGGCGUAACCACAGGCUUCUGGCUGCUCAGUGUUUGCUGCAACCACAUUAUGGGACCUGAUCUACAGCUGGCUGGAGGAAAAAGUGGUUCCCUGCCGUCUUCUGUUCCAGAAUAAAAUAAGUUAUGGAAAA